rnacentral:rRNA from 1 species
UACAGAGGUCUCGAGCGUUAGGCGGAAUCACUGGGCUUAAAGCGUGUGUAGGCGGAUCGGUAAGUACCUUGUGAAAUCCCACAGCUUAACUGUGGAACUGCUUGGUAUACUGCCAGUCUUGAGCCACUUAGGGGCUACCGGAACAAAUGGUGGAGCGGUGAAAUGGCGUAGAUAUCAUUUGGAACGCCAAUGGUGAAAACAGGUAGCUGGGAGUGAUGCUGACGCUGAGACACGAAAGCCAGGGGAGCAAACGGG